AUUGAACGCUGGCGGCAUGCCUUACACAAGCAAGUCGAACGGUAACGGGCCUUCGGGUGCCGACGAGUGGCGAACGGGUGAGUAAUGUAUCGGAACGUACCUUUCAGUGGGGGAUAACGUAGCGAAAGUUACGCUAAUACCGCAUAUUCUGUGAGCAGGAAAGCAGGGGAUCGCAAGACCUUGCGCUGAUUGAGCGGCCGAUAUCAGAUUAGCUAGUUGGUGAGGUAAAGGCUCACCAAGGCGACGAUCUGUAGCGGGUCUGAGAGGAUGAUCCGCCACACUGGAACUGAGACACGGUCCAGACUCCUACGGGAGGCAGCAGUGGGGAAUUUUGGGCAAUGGGGGCAACCCUGAUCCAGCCAUGCCGCGUGAGUGAAGAAGGCCUUCGGGUUGUAAAGCUCUUUCGGCCGGGAAGAAAUCGUAUCAGCUAAUACCUGGUGCGGAUGACGGUACCGGCAUAAGAAGCACCGGCUAACUACGUGCCAGCAGCCGCGGUAAGAC
rnacentral:rRNA from 1 species